rnacentral:rRNA from 1 species
CAGUAGCCGCGGGAAUACGUAGGGUGCAAGCGUUAAUCGGAAUUACUGGGCGUAAAGCGUGCGCAGGCGGUUCGUUAAGACAGAUGUGAAAUCCCCGGGCUUAACCUGGGAACUGCAUUUGUGACUGGCGGGCUAGAGUAUGGCAGAGGGGGGUAGAAUUCCACGUGUAGCAGUGAAAUGCGUAGGGAUGUGGAGGAAUACCGAUGGCGAAGGCAGCCCCCUGGGCCAAUACUGACGCUCAUGCACGAAAGCGUGGGGAGCAAACAGGAUUAGAUACCCGAGUAGUCCCUGUCUCUUAUAC